UAGAGAAGAGGAGCUUCCCCCCUCGUUCCGAUACAUCCUUUCGAAUGUUCCAAUUCCACACCGUUUAAUCUGAGAAAACACAAGUGAUAUCUUCAAAACUGGAAGUCUACUUCCAAGUUCAAAUCAUCAACAGAAUCUCUAGAUGCAAAUGUGAAGAGGCAGAUUUUUCCUGUUGGUCCAAACAGGACUGGUUAGCCUGCUGAACGUAACCAGCCUUGAGACCAGCCAGGCAACAUCAAUAAUAACAACAUGGGAAUGGGAAAGAAAAUAUUAAAGGU